GGAAAUAUGCCUGAUUUAAGGAUUACUUUGAUAGAGUAAAACAAAGUGCACACUCCCACUUAUUUCCU
rnacentral:tRNA from 1 species